GACAGAGGUGGCAAGCGUUGUUCGGAAUUACUGGGCGUAAAGGGCGCGUAGGCGGUCUUUUAAGUCUUGUGUGAAAUCCCUCGGCUCAACUGAGGAACUGCACGGGAUACUGGAAGACUUGAGUUCGGGAGAGGGAAGCGGAAUUCCGGGUGUAGCGGUGAAAUGCGUAGAUAUCCGGAGGAACACCGGUGGCGAAGGCGGCUUCCUGGACCGAUUACUGACGCUGAGGCGCGAAAGCUAGGGGAGCAAACAGG
rnacentral:rRNA from 1 species